rnacentral:piRNA from 1 species
UUUCAUGUGGAGUAGUGGGCU